GGUUAAGCGACUAAGCGUACACGGUGGAUGCCCUGGCAGUCAGAGGCGAUGAAGGGCGUGCUAAUCUGCGAUAAGCGCCGGUAAGGUGAUAUGAACCGUUAUAACCGGCGAUACCCGAAUGGGGAAACCCAGUGUGACUCGUCACACUAUCAUUAACUGAAUCCAUAGGUUAAUGAGGCGAACCGGGGGAACUGAAACAUCUAAGUACCCCGAGGAAAAGAAAUCAACCGAGAUUCCCCCAGUAGCGGCGAGCGAACGGGGAGGAGCCCAGAGCCUGAAUCAGCAUGUGUGUUAGUGGAAGCGUCUGGAAAGGCGCGCGAUACAGGGUGACAGCCCCGUACACAAAAGCGCAUGUGCUGUGAGCUCGAUGAGUAGGGCGGGACACGUGGUAUCCUGUCUGAAUAUGGGGGGACCAUCCUCCAAGGCUAAAUACUCCUGACUGACCGAUAGUGAACCAGUACCGUGAGGGAAAGGCGAAAAGAACCCCGGCGAGGGGAGUGAAAAAGAACCUGAAACCGUGUACGUACAAGCAGUGGGAGCCCCACCACUAAGCCAGUGGUGAACUCCACAUACGCAUCCUUUGCUGAGGAUACGGUUAACGGAGCGCAAGCGACGUUCAACCGCAAAAGAAGUAGAGGGGGCUUAGUGGUGGGGUGACUGCGUACCUUUUGUAUAAUGGGUCAGCGACUUAUAUUCUGUAGCAAGGUUAACCGAAUAGGGGAGCCGGAGGGAAACCGAGUCUUAAUUGGGCGUUAAGUUGCAGGGUAUAGACCCGAAACCCGGUGAUCUAGCCAUGGGCAGGUUGAAGGUUGGGUAACACUAACUGGAGGACCGAACCGACUAAUGUUGAAAAAUUAGCGGAUGACCUGUGGCUGGGGGUGAAAGGCCAAUCAAACCGGGAGAUAGCUGGUUCUCCCCGAAAGCUAUUUAGGUAGCGCCUCGUGAAUUCAUCUCCGGGGGUAGAGCACUGUUUCGGCUAGGGGGCCAUCCCGGCUUACCAACCCGAUGCAAACUGCGAAUACCGGAGAAUGUUAUCACGGGAGACACACGGCGGGUGCUAACGUCCGUCGUGAAGAGGGAAACAACCCAGACCGCCAGCUAAGGUCCCAAAGUCAUGGUUAAGUGGGAAACGAUGUGGGAAGGCCCAGACAGCCAGGAUGUUGGCUUAGAAGCAGCCAUCAUUUAAAGAAAGCGUAAUAGCUCACUGGUCGAGUCGGCCUGCGCGGAAGAUGUAACGGGGCUAAACCAUGCACCGAAGCUGCGGCAGCGACGCUGAUGCGUUGUUGGGUAGGGGAGCGUUCUGUAAGCCUGCGAAGGUGGCCUGUGAGGGUUGCUGGAGGUAUCAGAAGUGCGAAUGCUGACAUAAGUAACGAUAAAGCGGGUGAAAAGCCCGCUCGCCGGAAGACCAAGGGUUCCUGUCCAACGUUAAUCGGGGCAGGGUGAGUCGACCCCUAAGGCGAGGCCGAAAGGCGUAGUCGAUGGGAAACGGGUUAAUAUUCCCGUACUUGGUGUUACUGCGAAGGGGGGACGGAGAAGGCUAUGUUGGCCGGGCGACGGUUGUCCCGGUUUAAGCGUGUAGGUGUGUGUUCCAGGUAAAUCCGGUUCACUUUAACACUGAGGCGUGAUGACGAGGCACUACGGUGCUGAAGCAACAAAUGCCCUGCUUCCAGGAAAAGCCUCUAAGCAUCAGGUAACAUCAAAUCGUACCCCAAACCGACACAGGUGGUCAGGUAGAGAAUACCAAGGCGCUUGAGAGAACUCGGGUGAAGGAACUAGGCAAAAUGGUGCCGUAACUUCGGGAGAAGGCACGCUGACACGUAGGUGAAGUGAUUUACUCAUGGAGCUGAAGUCAGUCGAAGAUACCAGCUGGCUGCAACUGUUUAUUAAAAACACAGCACUGUGCAAACACGAAAGUGGACGUAUACGGUGUGACGCCUGCCCGGUGCCGGAAGGUUAAUUGAUGGGGUCAGCGCAAGCGAAGCUCCUGAUCGAAGCCCCGGUAAACGGCGGCCGUAACUAUAACGGUCCUAAGGUAGCGAAAUUCCUUGUCGGGUAAGUUCCGACCUGCACGAAUGGCGUAAUGAUGGCCAGGCUGUCUCCACCCGAGACUCAGUGAAAUUGAACUCGCUGUGAAGAUGCAGUGUACCCGCGGCAAGACGGAAAGACCCCGUGAACCUUUACUAUAGCUUGACACUGAACAUUGAGCCUUGAUGUGUAGGAUAGGUGGGAGGCUUUGAAGUGUGGACGCCAGUCUGCAUGGAGCCGGCCUUGAAAUACCACCCUUUAAUGUUUGAUGUUCUAACGUGGACCCGUGAUCCGGGUUGCGGACAGUGUCUGGUGGGUAGUUUGACUGGGGCGGUCUCCUCCUAAAGAGUAACGGAGGAGCACGAAGGUUGGCUAAUCCUGGUCGGACAUCAGGAGGUUAGUGCAAUGGCAUAAGCCAGCUUGACUGCGAGCGUGACGGCGCGAGCAGGUGCGAAAGCAGGUCAUAGUGAUCCGGUGGUUCUGAAUGGAAGGGCCAUCGCUCAACGGAUAAAAGGUACUCCGGGGAUAACAGGCUGAUACCGCCCAAGAGUUCAUAUCGACGGCGGUGUUUGGCACCUCGAUGUCGGCUCAUCACAUCCUGGGGCUGAAGUAGGUCCCAAGGGUAUGGCUGUUCGCCAUUUAAAGUGGUACGCGAGCUGGGUUUAGAACGUCGUGAGACAGUUCGGUCCCUAUCUGCCGUGGGCGCUGGAGAACUGAGGGGGGCUGCUCCUAGUACGAGAGGACCGGAGUGGACGCAUCACUGGUGUUCGGGUUGUCAUGCCAAUGGCACUGCCCGGUAGCUAAAUGCGGAAGAGAUAAGUGCUGAAAGCAUCUAAGCACGAAACUUGCCCCGAGAUGAGUUCUCCCUGAGACUUAGAGUCUCCUGAAGGAACGUUGAAGACGACGACGUUGAUAGGCCGGGUGUGUAAGCGCAGCGAUGCGUUGAGCUAACCGGUACUAAUGAACCGUGAGGCUUAACCUU
rnacentral:rRNA from 1 species